UCGAGACUCGAUACCCAACCCUAACUGUCACCGGCUCUCCAAGAAAGAAAAAGCGUUUAUAAAUGUUAGAGAAAGAAAUUAAAGAGUUUGGUCGAUUACAGAUUCGCUCAAAUUGACCAAUUUAAUCGUCUCGCCGAUAAAUCGGUCGGGCCCUAGUGGACAAUGCAGGUGACAUGAUCAGAAAACAUCUUGAUCAUCUUUGCACGGCUAUUUCAUCAGUUUCUUUUGCAUAUCAAAACCUUAGAAAAACCAUGAUUGGUGGAAGUAGAUAAAAUGUGAGCUGCCGUGAGCUUUUUUAGUGGCUCUAAGAAAUAAAAGGCCGUUGAAUCAAAGGCCAGCCAUUAGUUUCAUCAUUUACCAUCACAUAUACCCUGUCUGAGAUUUAAAGCUGGGUAAUAAUCAUUGCAGUUGGUAGCCAAGCCAUUUCUGUUAUGCUCUGAGGCUGGAAAUAUAUACCAUGAGAUGAAUAAGCUCUUAUGAUGUGUAGUUUUUCUUCGCUGACACGUCCCCCCUCCUUGUUCAAACUGAAAAGUGGUUGAAAACUUUCCUCCAUCCCUUAUCUUCCCAGGAGAGAUUUACACGGAGGAAAGCCUGUCCUGGCCCCGGGGCGCGCACUACCUGGUAACUAAUGAAAAUGAAACAUUUGUUCUUUAGGGCACCUCACAGGCACACAGCCCGGCCCGCUGCGGGGCUCACGCUAAAGCCUGCACAGCCCCUUUGAUAGAUUGGCGGGAGGGGGGUGAGAGCUAACUUUAGCCCUUAAUGGUUUGAAAUAUGCUUGCGCUACAGUUUUUUCGCUGUGAGGCCAAAUGAUAUCCCCUCUCCUGAUGAUUUAUCAAGCCCAUUCAGAGCCUUCUCGUCGGGAUAAAUUGGCCGCUGCCUGGUGUAAUGCCCUUGAUGGAUAAUCGUCUCAUUUUUCUUGAUUAUUCUAUCUAUAUGGCUGUUGCUUAAAAAUCAAAAUGAAUAUCACAAACAUAAUGCCUCGGCCAUUCUCGCCUCAUACAUCUUAGAUUAUGUGAUGAUGGUAAUAAUGGUUGGUGAUUAGGACACGCCAGGAGCCAAAUUAAGUGAGAGCUUAUGGAGCCUCCAGUGCAAUUUGACCUACGACCUCAUGGGCUUUGCUCAGAUCAAGUUAGCUGCUGGAUUUAUACGGACGGCACAAAUGUGAUCACAGCUUUGAAUUUGUCCUGGUAUGUCCAAUUUUGGUGUAAUCUGUUGUUAGUAUUAUUAUUUGUUUCGCUUUAAUUCUAGUCUGACUCAAACUGCUUUUUGGACCAAGCUGUAAAAAAUAGUAAAUUUUGCCCUAAAGAUGAGCUUUUUGAAUGGGUGUGAAUGGGGCUCCCAGUGAUUUUGCAGCCAGCCUCUAGUGGACACUCCAGGAAAUGCAAUUUUAAGCACUUUAUUUCUCAAGACUAAAGGUCCUUACAUACAGGGAACGACGCAAAUAUACGACACGAAAUUACAAAAUAUUCAGAGGCGAAUUUUGAUGUGCCUGACUAUACAAAUCAAUCGAGUUCUAAUAAACUUAAAGCUCCUGUGAGGAACUUUUUUAUGCCCCAUUUAUUAGGCCCCCUGUGGUCAAAGCAAUUUUUACUUUACUUGUCAUCCACAUAUUUCAAUGGUGUCUUUCUGUCAAAUUUAUAAAAUGCUCUUAAAUCAUUCAGUAAAAUGAAAAAAAGAGACCUGUUUUUCUGCUCAGCUAAAACCUACCCCCCAAAUCAAUUCCAGGCAUUUGAAAUUACAACAUUCAAAUUGUCAAUCUUGUGUCUAAAGGUCUUUUUUGUUGUUUUUAAAGCUGUUUGAAUUCAUUGGUGAAUUUUUGUAAAUGCAGGCUCAAAGCUCUGUAAAAUCAUACUCCAUCUUUAUUGUAUUUAAAGACGUUUUUAUUGUGUUUUAACACUGAAACCUGAAUAACAUUUGUAGCUCUUUGUACCAUCAGACUAAGGUUACUUCUGUAGCUUCUGUAGCAAAUAACGGUAAUUUUUUAAGCCUUUUUACCCUCUCUUGACCUCCAUCAAUACACAGUAUAACCUCAUUUAAAAGAAAUACUUAUUUCCUGCCACUGGAGACGCCAAAGUAAAGACGAUCAAAACUCAUAAUAACAUUUUUAUUAAAAACAGUGAUGAAAGUGACAUGAGUUUACUUUAUUUGCAAAGUCAUAACGCAAUGUCUUUCAAUUUAGAGCACAUUAAUAUCUGAUUUCAUGCUCUCUGUGUCUGUUCCAGUGGGCUGCUCUGUCCUUUCAUAUAUUUGUGUUUUCGUCUCAGGGAUAUUCUUAUUCAAAAUAGGCAAUUUUAUUUUGACAGCUAUUUGUAUGUAAAGUGCGAGAGGGAGGCAGAGGAGGAGGACGAGGGGAGGCACCUUGUCAUUGCUCCUGUACUUUGCUGUUUGCUGAAGCAGCCCUUUUUUUUUUUCUCCCAGAAUAGUCCAAGACGUCCUCUCAGUGGAUUAGAUGUUCUCCCUCACAAUACAUCCUCAGCAAGGUAGAGUUAAGGGAUAGGAAAAGAGAAGUGGAAGGCAUUUUUUGCAGCUGACUCACAUUCAGAUUUCUAUUUUUCUCACUUGCCUUGUGUCUUUUCUUAUUUUAGACUUUUGCAAUAUGCUCAUGUACUUGUAAACACCAGAAAACUCACAGUUUGCUUUUAUUUUCUCCCUGAAAUUGUCAGUUUCAAUGAGGAUAUUCAGUGAUGCUGUCAUUGCUUUUGGUGGCUGGGGGUAUAUCGGCUUUUGUGUAAAUGCACCACGUCUAGCCAUUAAGUAGCUUUGCACUGACCUUCAAUUUGAUGUCUCAAUAAGUAUUGCAUGGAUUCAAUCAACGUUGCAUCAUUGAAUUACAGAUAGUUUUACCUGAUGUGAAAGUUGAGACAUAGUUCGGCAAGAAUUUCACAAGUUUGAGCCGUUUUUAGACCCAGAUCCCAACAGUAAUGUAGAGGGGUUAAAAGGAGUAGCCUCAAUCUAAACUCUAGACAAGCAGGCUCUACAGGGGUCUCGAAUUGGUUGAGACCCCAUUUAUUCUGCCUUGUGAUCACACCUCACUGAAUACUCCAAUCCUUUCCAAACUUGGGGUGUGAGCAAGAGUUUUAAACAGUUGGUACUUUUUUUGUGACUGCCUGGGGAUACCAAAUGCUUGAGGGCCUGUGUCCACUACCAGCGUUUUUCAUACUGGCAAAUGCCCAUGACCUCAAUUUCAGAUAGCUUCUUAUUGUUGCUAGGUUAUGAAAAUUAUACCAGAGCAAUAAUAAUUCUUUAAGUCUGUUUAAAACUUCUCUGUGUGAUCCAAAUCAGCUUUUAUUUCAUGGAAUUUUACAUGAACAUUUGUACUAAGUAACGGAAAAAUUGCCCUAGCUUUGGCAGUGGCUCCAGAUCUUGAAGGGUAUCUCAAAAAUUGAUAGUGGUCAGUUUCUCUCAUGUGCUUACCCCCAACAUUGUUGUCCAUGUGGGUUACAUCAGACAACCCACUUCCUCUCGGUUUGUAUUGGUCUUUGGGAGAUGUAACAUCAACUAUUGAGGCUCACAAAGAGGGCCUAUUGACACUUACACUGUCAUUAGUUCUGUAUUUAAAAAAGGUGCUACAAGGCUUGCAGUCAGAUUCAACUAUUGUACCUGAAAGUAACAAGUGUCCAACAAUACAAGUUUAAAAAAAUAAAAUAAAAUAAGGUCCUGCAAGCGCCAAAUAGAUAAUUAAUGCUCUCAGUGGACAUAGGCCCUUAAACUCAGUUUACUUUCAUUUGGUGUUUUUUUUUUGAGCUGCUAACCCAAACUUGGCAGAAAUUGUGACGAAGGGUCUCAUUUUGCAAGAAAACAACCGAUCCAAAAAUUUACAACUCAUAUCUUCAUCCACACCAAACUAGCUAGUUCAACAACUUCCCUAGUACGAGGCUGAUAAACUAUCCAAAGAAGACAGAAGGUAUAACAUUUCACCAAGACCUGAAAGCCUAAAUUAGAGCUAAAUAAUGUUCAAAUGCUACGUAGAUUUAAAGUAAACUCAAGCAGUGGGUGAUAUUGAUCUGUUGGAUCAUCACCAAAGAGAACUCCUGCUGUUUUACAACAAAGUAAGAGUACAUUAACAAGCAUAGAUUAAGGACUUAAAAAUGUCUUUGUAAAGCAAACUUAAGGUACAAGCUGCAGUCUGUUUCCAAUCGUGUUUGAUCAACGAUAAACUACUCUCAAAGUGAACCGUUUGUUCAUACCAACAGUCUCAAAAAGUACAACAUAUGCUUGUAUAGCUGAAACAAGCAUUAGCAUACUGUUUGAUACAGGUGAAGAGUUAAAUAUUCUCUCAUUAUAUUCUCUAAUAAUGUAAUCCAUCAUUAUAUCCUGUCAGCUAUGUCGGUAAGCAGGAGGAUGUCCUCAGUGGUUACUGAACAGAUGGCAGCCAUCUUUAGGUGCAAACAACCUGCCACCAAGGAGAGACAAAACCGUGGGAGCGGCAGAACAAAGAGAAAGCGGUGGCCAAUAAAGAGCUGAUUUUACAAUCUCUCAAACACACGCCUCGCUUAUGAGUGUGAUUUCAGCACGGCAAUUACAGGUUCAUUAAUAUUGCAAAGGGACAAACACUGGAGCUGUCAGAGGAAAUCUGGUGUAAUCCAAACUCCACCGGUUCUUAUGCUGCAAAUCCUUGACGCGGAUAUUUGAUCUGUGAUUUAUUAAUCGGACAGUUCGGGGAGAAUGAUGAGAGUUGGAUAAAAACAUUGAUGCAACACAGAGAUCUGUAAAACAAACUUGAUACUGGAGGUGGCAGAUAGAAGAAACAACUGACCUUUAACUCAAAAAUGACCCAAUUAAUGUGAUAUAUCAUAAUUGUUGAAUGAAUACAAAAAUAUUACUUAAUAACAGUAGGGAUCUUAACAAAAUGUUGACUUUUUCUUAUAAUAGGCCUUAAAAAGCAUGUGGUUAUGUCAAAGCUGGGGCUGUAGCUCAAGUUAAUACAACUGUCGUACUACAAUAAUACUAAGAACAGAUUCAAACCUGUUCAUCACUUAUCAUCUGCAGAUUAUGUGAACCUACGUAGAAUUAUGUUAAGAACUAGAGCUCAGUUUUGAUGGUUUUACAUAUCUGUGUGAACAACAAGUAAAUAAAUAGCGUUGGAACCUCCAUAGUUCAAAGGAGUGGUCGACUGAAGUGGCUUUCUUAAACAGCAGGUGCUAAUAAUUAGCAGAUAGACCAAUAACUGAUAUAUAUUGCCAAUACCACUGUUUUUUUUUUCCAAUUAAUACAACAGUUUAAUAACAAUACCAAUUAUAGCAUGCACAUUAUAAUCUAUUUAUACAUGGCUAACUUAGCUAGUAUCGAGUUUUAGGUAGAUUUUUGAUUGAUUUGUACAUAUAAAUGGUUAAGUUGUAUAUAAUGUUAGAAAGUAUUGUUAUUUCUGCCGAUGUAACAUGACAUAUAUUGAACAUUAAGCAGUAACUAUUUUAGAACUGGUAUGGUGUCAUUCACAAUAGGCAAAAGGGUGUUAUCAUUUCUGAGGACGUUACUGUUGUUUGACAGCAGCCACACUUGCACGACUGCCUGCAGUGUCUGCAGAUGUUUGUCGAGUUUUUAACCAAGCUUGUCCUAACCGAGAAAUAGUCCAACAGGUAACAACUAAUAAGAUGCUAACUCUUCGAUCUAGAGCUGCAGCUAUCAAAUAUUUUAGUAAUUGAGUUUUCUACUGAAUAUUCUAUCGAUUACUUGAGUAAUUGGACUCAAACGGCGGACUCACAUAAAGUUAGAUUUCCUAUAGCUCUGCAAUGAAGGCCAGAAUCGUAGAAAUAGAAGACAAUCGCGGAACAAGCGUGUGCGUUAGCAGAUUGCAAAGCUCGUAAGAAAGCUAAUUAUGAUAUUAGCUGUCAUCAUGCCCCUAAAGACAUUAGUGUCCAAGAGCUGAAUAGCUCCGAUGUUACCUGCUUCUGCUACGACACCAGCAAUGUUAGUCUAAAAGCUAACGUGAAGAGAAGUAUGCAGAGCAGCGCUGUCUCCACCCACGACUCGGAGGCUAAGUGCUAAGAAAACAGUGUUGCCAACUCCUCAGUAAGGAAUGUCGUUAGGUUGGUAACACUGCAAGACAAAACCCUCUCAUUUAUUUUUUCCACUCCGCAAAACCUAAACAGCGCUUACUCCUCCUUCUACUGUGGUGAUGUAAGUGCAUUGUGUCACUUUAAAAAGAAUCUGUGCGAAACAGUGACGAUUUGAGCUUAUAAACGAGUACUUGAGACAGAGAAAAUUCCCUGAUCAGUAUUUGUAAAUGAGGUUCUCGAGGUAUUCCAGGAAUCGUUUCAGCCCUACUUCAAUCACAUGCUUAACUUUAUAUUUAGCAAUUUAACAAGAAAAAUUCCCAGAUAACCAGCAACUCCUCAGUAUGUAGUUCUCUCUAAGGGUUUGACAAAUGCAUUUAUGAGUGAACUUCCUCAAGUCUGUUUGUUAUCACACAAACAUUGCCACACAGACUUUAAACUUCAUUAAUUUACCCGAGACACUGUCACAAAGGACCGCGAAGAUAGCGGUCGUUUGAUUGAUUGCGUCGGCUGAAAUGCCAAGCCGGAUGUUUUCACCCCAGUCCAGCCCUGCUGAGACACAACCUUCACAACAUUUAUUCCCUCCACACCGGCUUCCAUAUCACGUUGACCUGUCUAAAUUAUCUCUCAACAUUUGUGUUUCAGUCGACAGUUGACUUUUUCACUCUCAGUCUUACAUCUGUACUUCAUCACAUUUACAGUGUUUGACUCUUGAACAAAUCCUCUGAUUGUAUUCAGCUCACGUGCUACAACAUGGUCCUCACCCAAGACGGCAAAAAGAUCUUUUCAACCCUACAACAGCCACCCAGCCGAGCACAACUAAAUAAUAUCCACCCAUUAAAUUUUCAUCGGGCUUUCCCGAGACUCCAUUUUGUCCGUUUUCUUGUUUAUUCUUAAGGCGCUAAAAGGAGGUGCCCGGGCGCAGCUGCAUUGAUAUAUUUUUUUUUCCACAUUCAUGUCAUGCCACUCUGUGUGUGGUUUCAAUUAUGCAUGUGGUUCUUAUCUAUGAAUGCAUGAUGUUUGACUGUGCAGAAAGCACUCAGAGGGUGUUUGUAGGGAGUGCUGCGAGGAGUCGAGAGCUCGCUGCUACUGCUGCUGCUGACAGAGCAGCACAUGAGGUGUGGGAACAGUCACAUGUUGGUAAAAAAAAAAAAAAAAAGUGCUAUAGUCACUCCUGUUAUUCUCACAUUUACGAGUUAUCCUCAAACAUUUGUAAAUGAUGAUUAAAACAGUGUUGGAGAUUUGUUUUAAGCAUCAGGGUUAGGAAGCGAGGCUGGGGAAAGAUGAAGCACAAAAAAGCGGUUUCCUUUAACAUCAUGCCUAAUAUGUUUUUGUAAUCAGUGACGCUAACUCCUUAGUAAGGAAAGUCGCUAGUGGCUGUUGUAAAAGUCGCUAGAAGUCGCUAAAUGACGUCAUUGCCUAAUUUGCAUAAUUUCUCCGCCAAAUACUAGCUACCUGUUGCGAAGAGUAACAUAUACCUGCUUUCACGGUAGAGUCUCUAAACUCCAGAAAAAGUCGCAAGAUUUGUCGCAAUGCGCUUUUUUGAAAAUAAGUCGCUAGGGGGUCGAUACCUGC